GUCGAACGCUGGCGGCGUGCUUAACACAUGCAAGUCGAACGGAAAGGCCCUGCUUUUUUGUGGUGCUCGAGUGGCGAACGGGUGAGUAACACGUGCGUAACCUGCCCUUGACUUUGGGUUAACUUCAGGAAACUGGGGCUAAUAUCGGAUAUGUGCUCCUGCGGCAUGGUGGGGGUUGGAAAGUUUCGGCGGUUGGGGAUGGACUCGCGGAUGAUCAGCUUGUGGGUGAGGUAGUGGCUUACCAAGGCUUUGACGGGUAGCCGGCAUGAGAGGGGGACCGGCCACAUUGGGACUGAGAUACGGCCCAGACUCCUACGGGAGGCAGCAGUGGGGAAUAUUGCACAAUGGGCGGAAGUGUGAUGCAGCAACGCUGCGUGCGUGAUGACGGCCUGCGCGUUGUAAACCGCUUUCGCCUGUGACGCAGCGUGAGUGACGGUAAUGUGUAAAGAAGCACCGGCUAACUACGUG
rnacentral:rRNA from 1 species